ensembl:lncRNA
GCCAGCACUUUGGAAAAUUCCCUCACUUUAUGGGUUAUAUCGUGCGGAAGGGAAACAAUUCUUGUAUAUCGUGAUGGUUUCUGUUUUAUUGUUUGUUUUUUGCCUUUCGAGUCCCAGCGGAGGGUGCGAGCUGCAUUUUCAGAGCAUAAUGUGUGUGUCAUUUUGGGGGAAAAUGGUGCAUCUGUAGAAGCAGGUUGUGAAAAUGGCACCUGAUAUGACCUCCAUUUUAGAGAAUGGUGGAGGAAUAAUGGAAACCCCGGGAGGUAAAGAGUGCUGCCUUCUCCCCUGCCCUGCGAUGAGACCCCGGGCCAGGCAUUAGAGAGGAUGAAUGACAAUACUGAGAUCCCAGCCGCCACACUGCUUGUUUAUGGAUGUGUGUGCACAUCUAUGAAGUGUGCGAUAGAUUAAAGUUGUCUCUGCAAAUGUUGUUUUUUUUUGUGUGAAAUUGAUGAUUGAUGUUUCCCUAUCAUGCAGUGCUGUAAUGUUUCUCUUGUAAUUAACUAUGACACCAAAAAUCUACUCUCGUGUGUCAGAGCAUAAACUGUAUGCAUAAUCUAUGUUUCAAAAAUGUCAUUUUUUUGGAAUAGUCGCCGUUUAAUCAUUCACUGUGCGCCUGUAGCUCUUUUACACUUUGCCCUGAUCCCUGGGAGUCAGACACAUGGAUUCAUUUCCAAACUGGCUUUCAAGAGUCGCCACUGCCAGACCCCCUGCUGAGCUAAGCCAUCAGCUUUAUUUGUUGAUCUGUAUUUCUCUCCCUCCCUCUUGGCUCAUCGACGCAAAGAAGCCUACUCGUGGGUUACCAUUAGAGGCAGAUAAUCUGCAGUGAUUAGAUAGGUCUUUAUGUGGCAGUUCAGGCCUGGUCCCGGAGAGGCAAGAGGAGAGAGCCUUUCAGCGGAGAAGAAUAGGGCACAGCGCUCCUCCAGCCACUCAGCUUUGCCUCUUCCUCUCAGAGCUCAGCGGCCAGGGCAGCUGUCUAUUCACACCACCCUGCCAAUUAAGCACAUUCAGCAGGGCACUGGAGAGACACCCAGCCAGAGUCCCUGUGCUGCCACUCACCUGGGAGGCGUGCUGCUCAGUGAUAAUGGCAGUGGGAGAGCCAGAAGCAGCUAUCCGCCUCUAGUGAUGCUGAAAUGGGAUUUGGGCUGUGCUCGGGCGGAGGAGGUUAUUAUGGAUCAGGGGGGCCUGGUUUUGAAACAGAGCUAAACUGGGCUGUGGUACGACUAGAACCGCUGGGAUGUCUGUUAGCUUUCCUCGCUAACAAUGGCAGAUAAGACAAAAGUGGUUGUUUGCCAUCUCUCUCUUACACACCGGCCCAUUAAAGGUGUGCUGUUAUCUGAUAAGCCGUGAGGGGUGUGAUCACUUACACACAUAAACACACAAAUACACACCUGCUGUCCCUCAUUCAGUGCUCACUUAUGACCUCAAACCCGUCUCACUCGGUCCACAGUGUCCCUACACUGAAAGAGAGAGAAACUGUUUUGUGGCUCUGUGAUUUUUCUGUUGUUUUGUUCUCAUUCAAGUGCCCUCCUAGCUUAU